ensembl:lncRNA
CUUUUUCUUUUUCUUUUUUUUUUUUUUUUUUGACUAAGAUAAAGGAGAGAAAAAACAGAACAAGUCAUUGCUGCAUAAACUUCGGUCUCCAUAGCAACAAUGAAAAAUGUUUCCCUUCAAUUCCAAUCCUAUAGUCUCACCUGGGGUUCGGGAGAGUGGCAAGAGAUUAAAGUAUUUUCUAACUUACUUGUUCAUUGCAAUUUUGAAAGCAGGCUACUGGGGUGAGUAGCAUAGGCCAAAUUAGACCCAAAAGCUUUCCUGAGAUCUGGGGUGUGAGGUAGGGGCUUGGGAAGGGCAGGUAGGAAGUACUGGAUUUACCACUGUAGGACUUGUAUGCAGUAAAUCACACUGUAACAGAAAGUGCCUAAGGCAAAGAAAGCAAUGGAGAAAGGAAAAUGUUAACAACUAAGCAGUAUUCCUCUGAACGUUCCACCACUCUGGGAUCAGGAAGGCAACACUGUACUAAAUCCCUAGGAAACAUGGGGCUGCAUUACUAUAUUUCCACCAAAAUCAUUGUCCCAGGUUACUGCCAUGAACGUAGCACAGCUAUGCAGAGUGAACAAGGCACGCAGGCAAUGCUGCACUCCUGAGCACAGGAGAGCUGACAGACAUCCAUGACUGCUCUCUCCUGCUGUUCAUAAACUGAAUUUUCUGGGACAAAAUGGGAAUUUUGAGCCUGAGGAAGACUGGACUCCACAGCCUGAGUCAGUGUCUGGCACCAAGACCUUGGCUGUGGCUUUGGAGUUUUGUGUGAUGGAUCAGCACUCAGCAGUGGCUCUCCAGAGGAAAGUACCUUAAAGUAACAAGAGAUGCUUGGAAGACUUAUGUUUUAGUAAAACCAGCUCUUCCUAAACCCUUUCCUCCCUGGCUGCCAAUCUCCUGGGCAGGGGCUGCCCGUAAGCAGCAGGCAGGGGCUGCAGAUGUGCAGCUGUGUGUGUGCCACACUCCUGUCCACACCACAGCAACGUGUCUGUCACACAUCAUUAGGUACCUGAGUUGUUUGUGGAGAAGGUGUUGAUUUCCCCUCUUGGAGUCCGAGCUAAGCUCCCCCAUGUGAAAUCAGCAACCAACAGCAUGACUGGGGCUGUGCUGGCCAGUCUCUCUGAUGACCAGUGAGAGGACCUAAAGGACUGGCAAGAAAUUGUGCCAGGGAGAUUUAGGCUGGGUAUUAGAAAAAGGUUCUUCACCCAGAGGGUGGCUGGGCAUUGGAUCACAGCACCAAGCCUGACAGAGUUCAAGCAGCAUUUGGACAACACUCUUGGGCACAUGGUGUGAUUUUUGGGGCCUGUAAGGGGCCAGGAGCUGGACUUGAUGAUCCUUGUGAGUCACUUCCAACUGAGGUGAUUCUGUGACUAGAAGGACAAAAGCAGGCUGAAAUACAGAUGCAUCUAAAGAAACCUUAUAACAUAUAAAAAUGCCCUUAAUUUAUUUUCCAAGGUCAUAUUUUAAUUUGGAAUAGCUGAACUGGAGAAAAAAACAAAGAGUAGUUCAGUUUCAUCAUUUGUAAAGAAAAGUCACAAAUGAGUUUUCCUUCUUACUGCAUGUGGAGGUACAUUCUGGGAGCACCAUACAAUACCAUCUCAAGCUGAUACUUAGGACAGGUCCAUUUUCCCACUACCCAGUAGUAUGUGCUCACAUUCAAAAUUGAAUAGGAUGGAGUUCUCAAAUCAGUUUUAACUGAGUAUUUGAUUAACUAGAGAUUUUUUUCAGCUUUGAAAAGUUCUUUUCAUUUACUGGAUUAUAAUCAAAGGUGACUUUACUGAUAACAGCAUGAUAUCUUUAAUAUGUACUCAAGUAGUCUGCUCUGGCAGACUUUCUGUGCUACAGAUCCUGUACAUUACCACAGUAAAGCAAAGUGAAAUCCUGCCUUUGACACAACUCCAACAGGGAAUUUUCAUCUUAGAUUCCUCUGUAUGUUUUAUUGGUUUUGCUGUUUAUCUCACAGGAUAAACACGUAUCAGUGUUUCAGAUUCUGUAAUUGUGUUUUCUCCAGUCAAAACCAGAAAUAGGAAUCUUCCGGGAGAAAACUGACAAAUGUGAUCAUUUGUUUAACACAAAUUUUACUUCAACCCUCAAGGAAUGCAACUGGCAUAAACCAGAAGGCUCAUCAGUGACAGAAGUUCUGUUGCAAGUGGUGGUCUUUCAACAAAGUACUUAUUAGGGCCUUUACAGUGGUAAUAAGCACUCAUAAAAGUUGAUAAACACUCAAUAACUAAAUUACAUUAAAAAAGGAUUUUUCCUUGUUUGUACUUCAAGUACUAGCUUUGAAAUGGUUACAGAGAUUAAACACUGAACUCUCCAGACACACAUAUCAGUUGUGCAGGAUCAUACAUCCUGUAAAUGAGGUUGUUGAGACACCUGCUAUUUCCUCAAAACACACUGCUGCAAGUAGCAAAACUGUUUAGUUCUUAUGCAUUGAAUUUAUGCACUCAGCGCUCUCAGCUUCAAUGAACAAAUACUUUGUAUAUACAUAUGGAAAGGUUGUAUCAAAAUAAAAUUCGGGUCUGGCAUGUACCCUACCUGGUAAACAGAGCACUGGAAAAGCUGGAAGGACUCAGCAUUGUCAAGGCUGUUCCAGAGCAGUGGCCACUGAAACUGCUGAAAAUGUUUCUACCAAAGCCAGUAGUUUUGCAGCAGAUGCAUAACCUCUGUGAACAAGAACAGAUCAUUUACAAGUGCAAAUGUUAUCACUUCUAACACCUUUUAUUUUGCAUCAGUCUUUGCAGCCAGCUUCCUGAUGUGGCUCCAUGGGAAAGACUCCCCCGUAUCCCAUUGUCUUAGGCUACAAUGCAAGAUGUAGCCAAAAGGAUGCAUUCUAUUACCAUCUUCAUAAGCUGUUAAAAUAGGUGGGGCCGUGUUUUUUAUCUUUCCCAUUACUCAUCCCUGAUAACUCCCUCUGGGGGGCUAUCUCUGCUAAUGGGACAUCAAGGUCUCCCAGCACAACUCGUAAUAUUACAUCAUCCCACUGCGAGAUGCCACGCCUAGGGGAGGAACCAAGCAUCCCUACCUGGAUACAACAUGAGUUUGGGAACACCACAGGGGCACUACCACUGGAUUCCCAGAGAACAAGAGUUCAAUACUCACUACUAGACCUUGAAAGACCAGAUUGUUUCACAGGAUCACUGUUUUGACAAAACCACAUCCAUCACUCCAACAGGACUGUAGCUAUCAUUUGACUGUUACCACCACCCUGACCGACAGGCUGUCAGGUCAUAUUUUGACUGUCAGUUUAAGCCAGCGUUUCUGUACUAUUGCCUUAAUUUUAUUUUUCCUAUUAAAUUGUAGUUCUGCCUUGGAAUCUCCCACUGGUUUGUUUUUAAACUUGUACAACCACUGCUCACUGUGAGGCAGGCACACCAAGCCUGGCCCAGCACCAGGACAGCAGUAGGAGAGGGGUCAGGCAGUCCUGUUUAUCCAACAAGCCCAGCAACUCCUGUCCUGCUGCACCUAUACCCUCUUGCAGCUACACUAUCUGACAGGAGGGAGUUACCUUGAAACUCUUUCCAAGAGGUCUGAAAAUCAACAGUUAAGCAGGAUAGCACACAGAGACUUAUUUUGCCCUAGAAUGUGAGCUGGUUUUCACAGUGAUUCAGCUUUCAUGCUGCAUAUCAAAGGUACACAGAUCCUCCAUGGUCCCACUUGGGUAAAUCAGUCUGCUGGAAGAUUCAGCCUUCCCUCUGCUACUAGAUUAGCCACAGAAAGUAGAAGACAAAAUAGAUUAUGACAGGCAUGGAAAGGCAUGUUUCCUUCAUUAAUUGCCCAGUAUUUUUACCUAAAGGCCAAUGAAAAUUUAGCCACUGACUCAUUCAUGUAUUGUCAGUGUCUCACAAAUAUGCAUUCAAGAAGAAGAAACAGAAUGUCCACUAAUAAUUCAAAAAUAGCUAAGGAAUAAAACUUCUUCAUAAAUCCUACCUUCAAGAUGUUAAAUUAUUAAUUUACUUUUAAGGAAUAAAUAUGUCCUAAUAGCUCUUGCCAGGCAGUCAGUCAAAAACAGCAGAAACCCACAUCACAGGCACAACCAAAACACUUCAAGAAGGACGUUUCAUUUGUUCUUUUUAAGAUAUAUAACUUUGCAUAUCAAAACUGGUCAUUUUUAAUUACAGAGAUUUCUGAAAAUUCUUUACUUGGUGAUAAGACUCCAGCUUGUGCCUUUUCCAGCUACUUAAAAAUUCAGCUCCCUCCAACUCACUGUUUACCUCAAGUGUCAUUAACCACAUUUGUAAAUCAAAGAAUUUUAUUAAUGCAUGACAGUGUUGGCAUCACGAAGCUUCUGUGGGGUCCCACCACUCACAUAAGCCCUGCUCAGACCAGAGUACACCUUACUAUUAGCACUGCCUGUCUUAAAGCCAGCAAUCUUAAAAGAAGCUUCAUUCCUGUAACAGAAUUUUGGCUUUUGUAAGAGUUGUUUAAAACAAGAGUAUAAAUAUUGUACCAAAUACAAUCGACUGUUGGGAAUGAAAGAAAAAUAUUGUUGGAUUUAUUAUACAAGGAUGUAUUAUUGUGGAUGUAACGAAAAAACCUCCAACUCCCUUUAGAUCUCAUUACAAGCUGAACUUUUUCACACCAUAUAGCAAUUUUUCAUCAUUAAUUAAUUUAGCAUCUAAAAAUCUAGGUGCAUACAUGAGCAGACAGAUGCAAAACAAGUAUUUUAACUAGCUUCAUUGAACUAAUGAAUUCCAUUGCUAAAAGUAACGGUGCUUUAAAUUGCAGUAUUGAAAUAAAUUGAAGCAACUUGGAUAUUGACUGGAAAGCAGGCACAGGUCUACUAACAAUCAAGGCCUGGAAACAAACUCUGUUGUCAACACCCAAAAGCUACUUUUGGUAUGAAAACCAAAUAGAUUUAAUGAUGGAAUUACUGAUUACUCUACAUCUGAUGGAAGUGAAACAGAAUAAAUCUUUAUGCCCUAAACUCCAGAGCUGGAUUAGAUUUUUGCAGCUUUUAAACUGUAAAAUGAAAAAGACUUUAGGAAUGUGCAAAUGGCAGUAUCAGAGACAGUUUUCAAGCUUCCUGUAUGCACAAGCCAUUUGCUUCCUACUUUGAUGCUGGGGUAUCCAAGUUAUGGAGCAGGCCAGGAAAGAGCUGCCAUUCUCUUCCACCAUGCCUGUGAAGUACCAGAAUCAGGAGCUGUGAACAGCCCUGCAGCCAUCUCUGCCCUUCCACCCUGCUUGCACUGGGUGCCUGAGGCUACACCCCGUUCCUACUGCACACACAACAAAGGCAGUGGGUGCCAGAGGAAGACACAGCAAAGCAACCACACAUUCCUCACACAGCAAUCCUGCAAGUGAACUUUUAAUAAAAGUGAGCAACCUGCAGCCUACAAUCCCAUCAAAGCACAGGAGAAAGAAAGAGGCUGCUCCCCAAAUUGCUCCCCACUCCGUUAGGAUCCUGGAGUGCAGCUUUGGCAAACAGCAUGUUGUUACAAACUGAGACAGAUGGAAAUGUGCUUCCUUGUCAAAGCUGCUAUUCCCCAAGAGUAAAGAUUUUGUUGUCUUAAAUAUGCUGUAAGAGAUAGAGAAAGGUCCAGAAAUAUAACAAAACUAAUAAUAUAAAACUAGGUUUAUCUGUUUUUCUUAACAGAUAA